UCUUUGUUUUUCUAUUUUUAAAGAAACCUUACUAAAUGUUAUUACAAAAUGAAAUAUCCUAUCCUGUAAGUGUGUAAUUAGGGGCCUAUGGAGAGGACUAUCCCUCCCUUAAAAAUUCCUGAGUGGUGAGUAACCAGGGACUGGUCUAGAAAAAUGAAGCAGGAAGGUUAUUUGAAUUCAAUUAUACAGGACAUGCUUGUCAUCUUUGCUGUUUCAAGUUGAGCUUUGAGUUGGGGGUGUCUCUCCAUCAGGAAACAGAAACUGAGAAGCAGCUCAGGCGGAGGAGCUGGCCUUUGAAACAGGAAAGGGCAGAGUCUGUUUCUGGCUAGCUGAGAGCCAUAACAUUUUUCAGAAAAUUCUUGCAUGGUGAUAGCAUUUUCCCACCAUGAAAGGGUAGUAACAAUCUUCACAGAUAGCGUGCCCGUGUAUGUGGUUUAAAUAAAGAAAACUAGUCAGGAAGAAAGAGGCAGAGGGCCUGAGGGACUGGGGGUCUACGGCAGGAAUUCCAAGACACAGCUGCAGGAACUUUUGAAAAGGCACAGGUCAGUGUCAACAGUCAAAAGCUCAGGGAAGGACUCUUGAAGGACACAGAGGAAUUGAACUCGGCUCCUUGCGCUUGCAAGGCAGGCAGAGAACCACUGAGUUAAAUCCCCGGCAGAAUCAUGAAGUUUUAAAGAGAGAUCUCUGUGGCAGUGAGAAAGGGCAGGACUUGAGCUCUUCCAUCCAAAGGGACCUGUCAGAAAAUGCUAAGUGAAGGUACUUAAAGAAGCUGCUGGCAUCCAGCUGUACCCUGUGGACAAGAGGCCUGAAGGCAUUGCGUGAGCUCUCAGCAUCUUCUUUAGCAAGAGCCACGUGGCUGCACUGGUCAAGAGGGGAGCUGUGGAAGGGGUGAUGGGGCAGAUAACAGAAGCUAGGCCCAAGGAGGAGGCCAGGCCGGUGAUCACAAGAGAGGUGAGGGGAGUUUGGAGAGAGCCACUGAGGUUUCACCUCUGAAGAAGACAUCUUUAAUAACUAAUGAGAAAAUGCAUGGAGUCAUUAAUGUCACCCCUAAUAUUUUGCAACUCCGAGCAAAUCACCCUGCCUCAGGACCCUGCAGCCACAUUACCGGCCACCCAGAAAAACACAGAAAACUGUCAUAAACAAAUGAAACUCAAAACCAAGUUGAUCUAAGAUACAUUUGACGAGACCAUGAUUCAACCCUGGAUUAUGAAAGGCAUAAUCUAGGAAGGAAAGUAGUUCUUAUAAAUUACUGAAAUUAAGGAGUAUAAGCCAAACAAACUUUAAUUUUUCUCUUUUUAUUUUGCUAAUACUCCUGUAUCUAUAGUCUACAGAAUGUAGUUUUCUUUUUGUACCAGGGAUCGAACUUGGGUCCUUGAGCUUGCGGGGCAGGUGGUGGAACCAUUGAGCUAAAUCUCCAGCCUGAAUGUAGUUUUCUUUAUUCCCAAUAUCUUCUGAAAUAAGACACAUGCCUUCAUAUGUUAAAUGACAAAGAUGGGGCUGGGGAUUUAGCUCAGUGGUGCUGCGCCUGCCUCACAAGCACAAGGUCCUGAGUUCGAUCCCUGGUACCAGGAAAAAAAAAACAAAAACAAAGAUGCCUGGCUGGACCUGCUGUGUGUUCUUCCAGAAUUCAAUUUCUUCUCUUUUCUUUUUUUUUCCUAUGGCAGUAAAAUGCUAUAAUGAGUUCCUUGAAGGGAGAGGUGCAGUAUAAAGAAGAGGAUAGUUCCUCAGGUUUCAAUGCCUGCUUUCAUUUUUUUUUAAGUACUGAGGAUUAAUCCCAAAGGCCCCACAGUCACUAAGCAGAGCACUGAACUACAUCUCCAGCCCAUUUUUUAAAAUUCCAUUUUUAGACAAGGUCUCAUUAGGUUGUCCAGUCAGAGUUUGAACUUGCAAUCCUCUUGCCUCAGCCUCCUGAGUAGCUGGGAUUACAGGCAUACAGCACUGUGUUUGCUCUCUUCUUUACCAGCUGUAUGAUGUUGGACAUACUAUUCAGUCUUGCUAAGCCUCAAGCCAUUUAAGUGAUGAUACUAAAUUGCCAGCAAGACAGAUGAGGAAGGGGUGGUCAGUGAAGUAGCAGGAAGUCAAAGAGAUUGUGACAGAGAGAAGCUGAAAAAAGAAAGUGUUUUUAGGAGGAAGGGGUUACCCAUAGUGAAAGCUGCCACAAAGACCGUAAGAGUUUCAGCAAACUUGGAGCAACCUAUCAAGACACACCAUGACCUUUCCACAGCUCUUGGUUCAUUACCUGAAGACCCUGGUUUGCUUAUCUGGAAAGAAACAAAGUGGGGGGGGGGAUAAUAUCUCUGAUCACUGCACUGUUUAAAGGACUAGUUUCUCAGACCUCAUUUGCAUAUUAAAACAAAAAUUGAGAACAAAUUUUUACAGCUCUGGUUCUUCAUUUUUCAAAAAUUUCUGCAUUCUCUGUGUCCAUUUAAAGGAGAAUUCUAGGGUAUGGGAGUAAACGAAACCUGGACUAUACAACUAGGGGCAGGUCUGGAAACAUUUCCUCCUCAUUGUAAAAGCAUAUCGGAUAAGAAUAUUUUCCAUACUGAUGUGUAAGUCUUUCAAAUGCAGUUGUUUCAUGCCUAACCUAAGUUCAGGCAAACACAAUUUCUGAAUAUUAAAACAAAGAAAAAUAAAUGUCAUAAUAAGCCUUCUAGCAUAAAGGUCUAAAAAUACUACAUUCUCUCUCCUAAUUCUACAAUCAAAGGAAAAGAACUUGACCAUUUGAAAGUGGGCUGAUGGCAGCUCCAGGGAAGCCUGGGUUGAGGGUCUCUCACACAUGA